rnacentral:lncRNA from 1 species
ACAUGGAACACCUGAACAAGCAGAAUAGGAGCUAGGUUCCAAGACCUGGGAACAUGAACUCAGUUUUGAUCCAGUUAGCUGAGAUGGCUGGACUCAGAAAACUGUCUCCUAACAGUAGCAAGAGAGCAAUGGGAAGGAUGUAAGAGCCAGGGGACCAUUUGCUGGUCUGCCAAUCAUCUUAGAGUCUCUGCUGAAGAUGCCUGGGCUGGGAAAUCCACUCAGUCAGGAGGAGAAAGAGACCCUCGAGGACCCUGGCUCUAUCUUACACCUGCUGCCCUUGACCGUGUGGUGACCUUGACCAUGUGGUGACGCCCAAAUGACCACUCUGGAUUCCUAGACCUUGGAACCAGAGCCAAAGAAACCUCUGUGCUUUAUAAAUCACUCAACCAGGAAUACUCAGUUAUAGUAACAGAAAACAAAGCUAAGUCACACGGGAUGUAAGGAGAUGAGCCCAGAUUAGAGAUAAGGCUAAAGAAUUAAUCAGAUGGAAAAAUCACUCCUGUACUUGUUCGUGUUAGAACUGCAUCAUGUUUUUAUACGGGAAAAAAAUGUAUUAAAUACACUCUCUACC